rnacentral:misc_RNA from 1 species
GUUUUUUGGGAGAGCUUGAUUGCAG